GACUCUCUCAUAACUCCUCUUCCAUCUUCCAAAACCAGAGCUGAAUUCUUCCUAUUAUACACAUUCUGCCUAAAGUUCUUCGACAGUGGAGUCUUUUUUUGAGUUACAACCAUGGAAGUCUUGUUCAAAGUCUUCGCAACGUGGCCUGGCUUUUUCGAGCUGUAAGAGAAGAGGCUUAAACAGAAAGGAGAAGACGAGAGGCAGCAAUUGGAUUCCAAGGGGCAUCGGCGGCCGGACCGGACAUCGACCGACCGUAAAAUAACUUACAGAGAUUUGGCCAGCCGAUCAAAUCAACGGGUAUCAAGUACAAGACUGAAAACAAAUGUUGCUAAGGUGAAUUACAUCGUGAUGUUGGAAUGAAACAAUCAGGUGCAGGAACUACACUGCACAUGCUGAAACUUGGUAACUUCAAGUAUACAAUGAGGCAUAGGAGUGGCAAAUAUUGUUUUUAACAGACGAAAUUAUGCCCAAGUGCUGAGUGACUUUGAUGCGAGAAAUCAUGAUGGAAAUGCAUCUGAUCAUGGGGUUUAGUACGGGGGAAUCAUAUUUCAUAUCCAGCCAUCUUCAUUUAUCAGCAAAGAUCAGAGCACAUGAGCAUAAAGAGGAGAACGAAAAGAAGCUUUGAUGUCAAACAAACGAGAAUAAUUUCACUAAGAACAGUCGAUGCAAUAAACAUGUUGUUGCUAAGCCAACUAUUAUGGUUGAUCCCAUAAAAA